UGACUUCAUCUGCCCAGCUUCUAGCCCAACAGCUAAAUGAGCUAUGAAAGAGUCAUCCGUCUCACCGGAUCUAUGGGAUACCAUCAAUCCCCAACCUGCUUUCUUUGCCAUAUUAGCAGCAUCAAUUGUCUCCGAUAAGGAUCCAAUUUGAUUGAUUUUAACUAAAAGGGCGUUGGCACAUUUUAAUUCAAUAGCUUUUGAUAAACGUUUCACAUUUGUCACAGUCAAAUCAUCAGCUAUAACUUCCACUUUCGUCUUUGAAGACAUAUAGGAAAAUGCGCCCCAGUCUUCUUCACUAAAGGGGUCUUCAAUAAAAACAAUAGGAUACUUUUCAAUUAAAGCAGAAUAUUUUUCAUACAACUUUUUAUAAUCAAGUUUAUUCUCGGGUUUUGGAUGUUCACUCUUGAAAUCAAGAUCAUAAAGUUUACCAUUAUACAACUCAGAAGCAGCAACGUCGAAUCCAAUCUUAACUUUCCCAUCGUAACCAGCUUCUUUGAUGGCUUCGUUAACCAAAUCUAACGCUUCUUCAGCAGUUGUUAAAUCCGGAGCAAUUCCACCUUCGUCACCAACAUUGCCAGCGGAUGCUCCAUAUUUCUUUUUGGCAAGUGCUUUUAACGUAUGGUAAACUUCACUUCCCCAACGUAACCCCUCCGAAAAGGUAGGUGCCUUGAUUGGCAUGAUCAUAAAUUCUUGAAAAGCUAAAUCGCCACCAGCAUGUCUUCCACCAUUCAACACAUUAAAUGAUGGAACGGGAAUACAUUCAGUAGUCUUUGAGCCAGCCAAUUUGCCAAUAUAUUCAUAUAAAGGUAUCUUUAAAAAUGCAGCAGCCGCGCGAGCUACAGCCAUUGAGACUCCAACUAUACUAUUUGCUCCCAAUUUAGAUUUGUCGUUCGUCCCAUCCAACUUAAUCAUAAAUUCGUCAAUGCCUCUUUGGUCUGUAAUUUUAAUAUCAGAUUUAACCAAGGCAGGGCCAAUGAUAUUGUUUACAUUGUGAACGGCAAUGGUAACACCCUUACCACCCCAUUUAUUCUUGUCAUUAUCUCUCAAUUCCUUAGCUUCCCAUUCACCUGUAGAAGCCCCUGAUGGAACCAUCGAUCUAAAAGUGCCAAGUUCAGUAGUGAGUUCAACUUCAACAGUAGGAUUUCCUCUAGAAUCAUAAAUACUUCUGCUAUAAAUUUUUUGAAUCGUCGUCAUUUUUAAUAUAAAAAAGUUGUUUUCAAAAUUCUUCUGAA